GACCUUGUGGCGCAAAGGUAGCGUGUCUGACUCCCGAUCAGAAGGUUGCGUGAUCAAAUCACGUCGUGGUCA